rnacentral:tRNA from 1 species
GUGGGAUUAGUGUAAAGGUUAACACAGCAGUUUGUGAAGCUGCGGAUACGAGCUCGAUUCUCCUAUCUCACC